rnacentral:rRNA from 1 species
AAAAGCAGGGGAUCGCAAGACCUCGCGCUCAUGGAGCGGCCGAUGUCGGAUUAGCUAGUUGGCGGGGUAACGGCCCACCAAGGCGACGAUCCGUAGCUGGUUUGAGAGGAUGAUCAGCCACACUGGGACUGAGACACGGCCCAGACUCCUACGGGAGGCAGCAGUGGGGAAUUUUGGACAAUGGGGGCAACCCUGAUCCAGCCAUGCCGCGUGAGUGAAGAAGGCCUUCGGGUUGUAAAGCUCUUUCGGCCGGAACGAAAUCGGGCGCGUGAAUAACGCGCCUGGAUGACGGUACUGGAAGAAGAAGCACCGGCUAACUACGUGCCAGCAGCCGCGGUAAUACGUAGGGUGCGAGCGUUAAUCGGAAUUACUGGGCGUAAAGCGUGCGUAGGCGGUUUCGCAAGUCAGAUGUGAAAUCCCCGGGCUUAACCUGGGAACUGCGUUUGAAACUACAAAGC